UGGGGAAUAUUGCACAAUGGGCGAAAGCCUGAUGCAGCGACGCCGCGUGAGGGAUGACGGCCUUCGGGUUGUAAACCUCUUUCAGCAGGGACGAAGCGCAAGUGACGGUACCUGCAGAAGAAGCACCGGCUAACUACGUGCCAGCAGCCGCGGUAAUACGUAGGGUGCAAGCGUUGUCCGGAAUUACUGGGCGUAAAGAGUUCGUAGGCGGUUUGUCGCGUCGUUUGUGAAAACCAGCAGCUCAACUGCUGACUUGCAGGCGAUACGGGCAGACUUGAGUACUGCAGGGGAGACUGGAAUUCCUGGUGUAGCGGUGAAAUGCGCAGAUAUCAGGAGGAACACCGGUGGCGAAGGCGGGUCUCUGGGCAGUAACUGACGCUGAGGAACGAAAGCGUGGGUAGCGAACAGG
rnacentral:rRNA from 1 species